UGAAGAGAUUUGGGAGUGCUCGAAAGAGAGCCAUAACACAGGUGCUGCAUGGCUGUCGUCAGCUCGUGUCGUGAGAUGUUGGGUUAAGUCCCGCAACGAGCGCAACCCUUGCCAUUAGUUGCUACGAAAGGGCACUCUAAUGGGACUGCCGGUGACAAACCGGAGGAAGGUGGGGAUGACGUCAAGUCCUCAUGGCCCUUAUAGGUGGGGCUACACACGUCAUACAAUGGCUGGUACAGAGGGUUGCCAACCCGCGAGGGGGAGCCAAUCCCAUAAAGCCAGUCGUAGUCCGGAUCGCAGUCUGCAACUCGACUGCGUGAAGUCGGAAUCGCUAGUAAUCGCGGAUCAGAAUGUCGCGGUGAAUACGUUCCCGGGUCUUGUACACACCGCCCGUCACACCAUGGGAGCGGGUUCUGCCAGAAGUAGUUAGCCUAACCGCAA
rnacentral:rRNA from 1 species